rnacentral:rRNA from 1 species
UGCGANUGGGCGAAGCCUGACGCAGCGACGCCGCGUGGGGGAAGGAGGCCUUCGGGUUGUAAACCUCUUUCAGGUGGGACGAAGCCACUCGGGUGAAUAGCCCAGAGGGUGACGGUACCUCCAGAAGAAGCCCCGGCUAACUACGUGCCAGCAGCCGCGGUAAUACGUAGGGGGCAAGCGUUGUCCGGAUUUAUUGGGCGUAAAGAGCGUGUAGGCGGCCAGGUAGGUCGGUUGUGAAAACUAGAGGCUUAACCUCUAGACGUCGGCCGAAACCAUCUGGCUAGAGUCCGGAAGAGGAGAGUGGAAUUCCUGGUGUAGCGGUGAAAUGCGCAGAUAUCAGGAAGAACACCCGUGGCGAAAGCGGCUCUCUGGGACGGUACUGACGCUGAGACGCGAAAGCGUGGGGAGCGAACAGGAUUAGAUACCCUGGUAGUCCACGCCGUAAACGAUGGGUGCUAGGUGUGGGAGGUGUCGACUCCUCCCGUGCCGCAGCUAACGCAUUAAGCACCCCGCCUGGGGAGUACGGCCGCAAGGCUAAAACUCAAAAAAAUUGACGGA